rnacentral:rRNA from 1 species
GACGAACGCUGGCGGCGGGCUUAACACAUGCAAGUCGAACGGAAACGCCCUGCGUUUGUGGGGUUCCCGAGUGGCGAUAGGGUGAGUAACACGUAUGUAACCUGCUCUUGACUUUGGGAUAACUUCAGGAAACUGAGGCUAAUAUAGGACCGGAUCUCCUGCUGCAUUGAGGGGAUUGGAACGUUGCGGCGUUUGGGUAUGGAUUCGCGGCUUAUCUGCUUGUUGGUGGGGUAGUGGCUUACCCAGGGAUUGACGGAUACCCGACCUGAGAAGGUGAACGGGCACAUUGUGACUGAGAUACGAAGCAGUCUCUUACAGGGGACAGCAGUCGGGAAUAUUGCACAACAGGAAGAAGUCUGAUGCAGCGUCACUGCGUGAGUGAUGACGACCUUCUGGUAGAAAAACGCUGUCGCUUGAGACGAAGCGUGUGUGACGGUAAUGGGUAAAGAAGCACCGGCUAAGUACGUG